UUGAACGCUGGCGGCAGGCCUAACACCUGCAAGUCGAACGGUAACAGGAAGCAGCUUGCUGCUUCGCUGACGAGUGGCGGCCGGGUGAGUAAUGUCUGGGAAGCUGCCUGAUGGAGGGGGAUAACUACUGGAAACGGUAGCUAAUACCGCAUAAUGUCGCAAGACCAAAGAGGGGGACCUUCGGGCCUCUUGCCAUCGGAUGUGCCCAGAUGGGAUUAGCUUGUUGGUGGGGUAACGGCUCACCAAGGCGACGAUCCCUAGCUGGUCUGAGAGGAUGACCAGCCACACUGGAACUGAGACACGGUCCAGACUCCUACGGGAGGCAUCAGUGGGGAAUAUUGCACAAUGGGCGCAAGCCUGAUGCAGCCAUGCCGCGUGUAUGAAGAAGGCCUUCGGGUUGUAAAGUACUUUCAGCGGGGAGGGAGGGAGUAAAGUUAAUACCUUUGCUCAUUGACGUUACCCGCAGAAGAAGCACCGGCUAACUCCGUG
rnacentral:rRNA from 1 species